AAGUCGUAACAAGGUUUCCGUAGGUGAACCUGCGGAAGGAUCAUUAUCAAAUGCUCUUAAGCAUCCCACCUUGUGUGCACCGUAUUUACAUGUCCUUUGGUGUCUGUGGACACCUCUGGACUGUUAUACACACUUUUUCUUAUUAUCAUAUUGUCGGAUUACUAUUAUUUCGAAAGAAAUAAAUGUUGAAAUUGAAACAACUUUUAACAAUGGAUCUCUUGGCUCUUGC
rnacentral:misc_RNA from 1 species